AGUGAACGCUGGCGGUAGGCCUAACACAUGCAAUUCGAACGGCAGCACAGUAAGAGCUUGCUCUUACGGGUUGCGAUUGGCUGACGGGUGAGGAAUACAUCGGAAUCUACUUUUUCGUUGGGGCUAACGUAGGUAAACUUCCGCUAAUACCUCAUACGACCUCCGUGUGAAAUCAGGUUAUCUUCCUACCUUGCGCGAUUGAAUGAGCCGAUGUCGUAUUAGCUAGUUGUCGGGGUAAAGGCCCACCAAGGCGACGAUCCGUAGCUGGUCUGAGAGGAUGAUCAGCAGCACUGGAACUGAGACAAGGUCCAGACACCUACGGGAGGCAGCAGUGGGGAAUAUGGGACAAUGGGAGCAAGACUGAUAAAGCCAUACCGCGUGGGUGAAGAAGGCCUUCGGGUUGUAAAGCCCAUUUGUUGGGAAAGAAAAGCAGCAGGUUAAUAAACCGCUGUUCUGACGGUACCCAAAGAAUAAGCACCGGAUAAAUUCGUG
rnacentral:rRNA from 1 species